GAUGAACGCUGGCGGCGUGCCUAAUACAUGCAAGUCGAGCGAACAGACGAGGAGCUUGCUCCUCUGACGUUAGCGGCGGACGGGUGGGUAACACGUGGAUAACCUACCUAUAAGACUGGGAUAACUUCGGGAAACCGGAGCUAAUACCGGAUAAUAUAUUGAACCGCAUGGUUCAAUAGUGAAAGACGGUUUUGCUGUCACUUAUAGAUGGAUCCGCGCCGCAUUAGCUAGUUGGUAAGGUAACGGCUUACCAAGGCGACGAUGCGUAGCCGACCUGAGAGGGGGAUCGGCCACACUGGAACUGAGACACGGUCCAGACUCCUACGGGAGGCAGCAGUAGGGAAUCUUCCGCAAUGGGCGAAAGCCUGACGGAGCAACGCCGCGUGAGUGAUGAAGGUCUUCGGAUCGUAAAACUCUGUUAUUAGGGAAGAACAAAUGUGUAAGUAACUAUGCACGUCUUGACGGUACCUAAUCAGAAAGCCACGGCUAACUACGUG
rnacentral:rRNA from 1 species